rnacentral:lncRNA from 1 species
CUUUCCUACUGAUUAACACUUUCCAACGCGACCAGGCACUCCGCUUCCAACUUUUCCCGUUUUAAACCAGAAGCAGCCAGCACCGCUUGCUCCCGCGGGUUAUAAACGCCGUCUGGGGCGUGGGGGACACCAUAAUUAAUAGCAGGACUGCCAGAGGGCCCUGUUACCUGGUUGAGUACCUGAUAACAUCACAGGGUAGAAGACACACAGAGAGCUUCUGUGACCUUAUCCCCGGUGUGAUCUUGUCCAGU